rnacentral:rRNA from 1 species
ACGGAGGGUGCAAGCGUUAAUCGGAAUUACUGGGCGUAAAGCGUACGCAGGCGGUCUGCCAAGACGGGUGUGAAAUCCCCGGGCUCAACCUGGGAAUUGCGCUCGAGACUGGCAGGCUAGAGUCCUGUAGAGGGGGGUAGAAUUCCAGGUGUAGCGGUGAAAUGCGUAGAGAUGUGGAGGAAUACCGGUGGCGAAGGCGGCCCCCUGGACAAAGACUGACGCUCAGGUGCGAAAGCGUGGGGAGCAAACAG